rnacentral:rRNA from 1 species
GACGAACGCUGGCGGCGUGCUUAACACAUGCAAGUCGAACGGAAAGGCCUGCUUUCCCUUGUGGAUUGCGGGUACUCGAGUGGCGAACGGGUGAGUAACACGUGAGUGAUCUGCCCCCAACUUGGGUAUAAGCCUGGGAAACUGGGUCUAAUUCCCGAUAGGACUGCAGGGUGGUGCCUGUGGUGGAAAACGAUUUUCUAGUGGUUGGGGAUGAGCUCGCGGCCUAUCAGCUUGUUGGUGGGGUAAUGGCCUACCAAGGCGGCGACGGGUAGCCGGCCUGAGAGGGUGGACCGCCACAUUGGGACUGAGAAACGGCCCAGACUCCUACGGGAGGCAGCAGUGGGGAAUAUUGGACAAUGGGCGGAAGCCUGAUGCAGCGACGCAGCGUGGGGGAUGACGGCCUUCGGGUUGUAAACUCCUUUCGACCGCGAGGAAGCCACCUGGUUGGAAGGGUGGUGACGGUAGUGGUAGAAGAAGCACCGGCUAACUACGUG